rnacentral:misc_RNA from 1 species
AUUGAAUUACAGCCCCGUUAGUCCGCGAUACAACCAAGGGAUGAAUUCAACAUCUAUAAAUUCAUGCUCCUCAGGUUAUUUAGAAACCCUAGACUUCACUUAGGCUGUUACUUCCUGCGAGUGUCUGCGCAUUUCUAUCGCUGAAACAAGCCACACGAGUAGCUAGCAAUGGCUGUCACAUUCUAUGAUCUUGGAUCACCGGCCGGCCUCAAGAAGCUUGAUGACUACCUUCUUACUCACAGUUACAUCACUGGGUACCAAGCUUCAAAAGAUGA